GACGAACGCUGGCGGCGUGCUUAACACAUGCAAGUCGAACGGGCCCGCUCUCUUUUUUGGGGGUGGGUUGAGUGGCGAACGGGUGAGUAUCACGUGAGUAACCUGCCCCCUGCUCCUGGAUAACUGCUUGAAAGGGCGGCUAAUACGGGGUGUGCCGGCUGGUCCGCAUGGGCCUGGUCGGGAUAGUUUCAUCUUCGGGUGUUUCGGUGGGGGAUGGGCUCGCGGCCUAUCAGCUUGUUGGUGGGGUGAUGGCCCACCAAGGCGGUGACGGGUAGCCGGCCUGAGGGGGUGGGCGGCCACACUGGGACUGGGACACGGCCCAGACUCCUGCGGGAGGCAGCAGUGGGGGGUAUUGCACGAUGGGCGGAAGCCUGAUGCAGCGACGUCGCGUGAGGGAUGGAGGCCUUCGGGUGGUGAACCUCUUUCUCCGGUGGUGAAGGCCCUGUCCGUUGCGGCGGGGUUGACGGUAGCCGGGGAUGAAGCGCCGGCUAACUACGUG
rnacentral:rRNA from 1 species